CGUCGACUCGCCCUCAUGUCGUGACAAACCUGGAUGCGUUUCUUUCUUCUGAGGAACACACGGGGAAAUAUUUUCAAGAAUGUUGAAGACAGAAAGUCAUACGGUUUUGGGACGCCAUCGGGAACUGAUUCAUCCUAGGGAGGAGUCUGACGCGGUGUUUUGAGAGACAGAGAGCACAUUCUUCAGUGACUUGGAUUUGAAAAAGGAACGCCACACAGAGCGGCUCCUUUACUGUAAACGAAUGCAGGGUCCUGAUGAGUGAUGAGUGCAUGGGAAGGAGAUAACACUUUGGAUGAAGUCUUGAAGGUGCACCCACUAGUGGCUGGUUUCUGUUGGAAGAACUGGCAUGACGUAAUCCAGCUGUGCUGCAGACCGUGACAGAGAAGACAGCCUUCCUCUGAGACCACUCCAUCAUACGCAUGAAGUCAUUUUACAAAUGCUUUUAAGAUCUUUCCUGCGUAGCGUCCACACUUAUGAACAAUCACCUUCAGGCUGUUGAUAGUAAAAUACAAAAAAUGUAUAUAUAUAUAAACAUCCUCAACUAUUACAAUUUAAAAUAAAUCAUUAUCCUGAUUUCUGCUGAUUUCAAAAUUCUCACGUCUCUGGUGGAUCUUCACAGAUUUUCUAAACAUAAAAUCUCCAAUGAAGUGUCAAACAUUGCGCGCUGAAUCUAACAAACGCUAGAGCUUUUCUAAAACCUUCUAUUCCUUAUAAACCUCCGAAAUCAGCUUUAUCGUCCAGCAGUCCUAAACUGUGUAAAUUGUUCCGAGUUCAGGAAUAUUAGGUCAGGAAUGUUGCUCUGUUUUUGACCGGAAUAUGAACAAUUUUUGUGUAUAAAUAUUGGAAUUGGAAGAUUUCAUUUUUUUUUUUCCACUCAUAGUAUUCCUACACAUGGGCACAUGUACACAUCCUACACAUGUAUUUUUUAAUACACUGUAAGUGAUAUUUAGAAAAAGUCAUCAUUCAUAUGGCGUCAUAUGUUUGUUUGUUUUUAAGUAUGCAUGAAAGGGUUAAUUAAUAAAUUGUGCAAGAAUGAAUUUAUUGUCCAUUAUUUAUAACUAUUCACUGUAUUUAUGUACUGUAUUACUGAAAUACACCGCA
ensembl:lncRNA